rnacentral:rRNA from 1 species
UACGUAGGCAGCAAGCGUUGUUCGGAGUUACUGGGCGUAAAGGGUGCGUAGGCGGUUGUUUAAGUUUGGUGUGAAAUCUCCCGGCUCAACUGGGAGGGUGCGCCGAAUACUGAAUGACUAGAGUGCGGAAGAGGAGAGUGGAAUUCCUGGUGUAGCGGUGAAAUGCGCAGAAUAUCAGGAAGAACACCUAUGGCGAAGGCAGCUCUCUGGGACGGUACUGACGCUGAGACGCGAA